rnacentral:rRNA from 1 species
GACGAACGCUGGCGGCGUGCCUAAUACAUGCAAGUAGAACGCUGAAGGAGGAGCUUGCUUCUCUGGAUGAGUUGCGAACGGGUGAGUAACGCGUAGGUAACCUGCCUGGUAGCGGGGGAUAACUAUUGGAAACGAUAGCUAAUACCGCAUAAUAGUAGAUGGUGCAUGACAUUUGCUUAAAAGGUGCAAUUGCAUCACUACCAGAUGGACCUGCGUUGUAUUAGCUAGUUGGUGAGGUAACGGCUCACCAAGGCGACGAUACAUAGCCGACCUGAGAGGGUGAUCGGCCACACUGGGACUGAGACACGGCCCAGACUCCUACGGGAGGCAGCAGUAGGGAAUCUUCGGCAAUGGACGGAAGUCUGACCGAGCAACGCCGCGUGAGUGAAGAAGGUUUUCGGAUCGUAAAGCUCUGUUGUAAGAGAAGAACGAGUGUGAGAGUGGAAAGUUCACACUGUGACGGUAUCUUACCAGAAAGGGACGGCUAACUACGUGCCAGCAGCCGCGGUAAUACGUAGGUCCCGAGCGUUGUCCGGAUUUAUUGGGCGUAAAGCGAGCGCAGGCGGUUAGAUAAGUCUGAAGUUAAAGGCUGUGGCUUAACCAUAGUACGCUUUGGAAACUGUUUAACUUGAGUGCAAGAGGGGAGAGUGGAAUUCCAUGUGUAGCGGUGAAAUGCGUAGAUAUAUGGAGGAACACCGGUGGCGAAAGCGGCUCUCUGGCUUGUAACUGACGCUGAGGCUCGAAAGCGUGGGGAGCAAACAGG